rnacentral:rRNA from 1 species
CCUACGUGAGGCAGCAGUGGGGAAUAUUGGGCAAUGGGCGAAAGCCUGACGCAGCGACGCCGCGUGAGGGAUGAAGGUCUUCGGAUCGUAAACCUCUGUCAGCAGGGAAGAACGGUCACUGUGCUAAUCAGCAGUGAAUUGACGGUACCUGCAAAGGAAGCACCGGCUAACUCCGUGCCAGCAGCCGCGGUAAUACGGAGGGUGCGAGCGUUAAUCGGAAUUACUGGGCGUAAAGCGCUCGUAGGCGGUAUGUCAAGUCAAGGGUGAAAUCCCCGCGCUCAACGUGGGAACUGCCUUUGAAACUGGCAAACUGGAGUGUGUGAGAGGAUAGUGGAAUUCCAGGUGUAGGAGUGAAAUCCGUAGAUAUCUGGAGGAACAUCAGUGGCGAAGGCGACUAUCUGGCACAUAACUGACGCUGAGGAGCGAAAGCGUGGGUAGCAAACAGGAUUAGAUACCCCAGUAGUC